UCUCCCCAAAUCUUCUUCCCAUAUCUUUCUUCUCUUUUCCAUAACUGUUUACAUCAUGUUCACGUCUCUCACAUAUUAUUAAACCGAUCAUCCCAAUCUCUAAUCGUCUUGAACCGAAACCACUUUAAACCGGCUUCAACUUCUCAUGAAUCUUGAUUCAACAACAUCAUCUACUUCUGAAUUUUUUGGCAUAUCUCGCUUGGAGUCUCGUGACGACAAUAGAUAAUACGAUACUCCUACUGUGUAUUUCUUCAACUUUUGUUAUAUUUCACAUGUUUAAAUAAUAUGAAUUAUGAUCUGUAUAUAAUGUGUGACGUUGUUAAUUUUUCCGAUUAAAUAUAAUUUUUGCUACUCAAUUAAUACGUAAGCAUUGAAAAUUCAACACCAUCUUCCUGAAGAUUUCAUUUACCAGGUUUAUAUUUUAAUCAUGCAAUAUCAAACUUUCAUUUUUAAUGUUUUUGUAUUAAUUAAAUAUACAAAUAUAUAAGAUGUUAAAUCAGAAGCUAUAAUAAUUUAAAUAUUUUUGAGAUUUUUUUUCUUUUUACUUAAUAAUCAUCUACAAGGGAUGAUCUCUUGAUCUGGCUAAUUAAACCCAUUGACAAGUUACAUAUUUGUUCUUCUUACACUAUGGUCUAUAGACCAA
rnacentral:lncRNA from 1 species